UACGGAGGGGGCUAGCGUUGUUCGGAAUUACUGGGCGUAAAGCGCACGUAGGCGGCUUUGCAAGUUAGAGGUGAAAGCCCGGGGCUCAACUCCGGAACUGCCUUUAAAACUGCAUCGCUAGAAUUGUGGAGAGGUAAGUGGAAUUCCGAGUGUAGAGGUGAAGUUCGUAGAUAUUCGGAAGAACACCAGUGGCGAAGGCGACUUACUGGACACAUAUUGACGCUGAGGUGCGAAAGCGUGGGGAGCAAACAGG
rnacentral:rRNA from 1 species